UACGUAGGUGGCAAGCGUUGUCCGGAUUUACUGGGCGUAAAGAGCGCGCAGGCGGUCGUGCAAGUCGCGUGUGAAAACCCGCGGCUCAACUGCGGGCUUGCAGCCGAUACGGGCAGGCUAGAGUUCGGUAGGGGGAGACUGGAAUUCCUGGUGUAGCGGUGAAAUGCGUAGAGAUGUGGAGGAACACCAGUGGCGAAGGCGACUCUUUGGCCUGUAACUGACGCUGAGGCGCGAAAGCGUGGGGAGCAAACAGG
rnacentral:rRNA from 1 species